UACGUAGGGUGCGAGCGUUGUCCGGAAUUAUUGGGCGUAAAGAGCUCGUAGGCGGUUUGUCGCGUCGACUGUGAAAACCUACAGCUUAACUGUGGGCUUGCAGUCGAUACGGGCAGACUUGAGUUCGGUAGGGGAGACUGGAAUUCCUGGUGUAGCGGUGAAAUGCGCAGAUAUCAGGAGGGACACCGGUGGCGAAGGCGGGUCUCUGGGCCGAUACUGACGCUGAGGAGCGAAAGCGUGGGGAGCGAACAGG
rnacentral:rRNA from 1 species